AGCUAAUACUUGCUUUAGCACUCUUGAUUAAGUUCUUGAGUGUGUACUUGUUAAGCCUUUUAAGAAAAAAGUUAUUAACUUAAGGAAUUAUAACAAAGAAGCAACACGUAAAUGGAUUUUCCAUUUUUUAGUGUGUAUCAAUCGAGUUUCUGACCUAUCAGCUUUUGAUGUUAGGGUAUUGGCCUAACAUGGCUAUGACGGGUAACGGGGAAUUAGAGUUCGAUUCCGGAGAGGGAGCCUGAGAAAUAGCUACCACAUCUAAGGAAGGCAGCAGGCGCGUAAAUUACCCAAUUCUAAAGAAGAGAGGUAGUGACAAGAAAUAACAAUACAAGGCCAAUCUGGCUUUGUAAUUGGAAUGAUGGGAAUUUAAAACCUUCCCAAAACUCAAUUGGAGGGCAAGUCUGGUGCCAGCAGCCGCGGUAAUUCCAGCUCCAAUAGCGUAUAUUAAAAUUGUUGCAGUUAAAACGCUCGUAGUUGAAUUUCAAAGAAUCGAUAUUUUAAGUAGCACUUUGUAGAUUAAUCCACAUAACUGAUACUACGUAUCGACUUUGUGCGCAUUUUUCUACUUAUGUGUUCUUUUAAUUAAAAUGAUUCUUUUUAAGAUCUUUCUUUUUUGCUUCGGCAUUUUAGGAGAUCUUGUUACUUUGAGUAAAUUAGAGUGUUCAAAGCAAACAGAUUAUAGCAUCUUUAUGCGUUUGAAUACUACAGCAUGGAAUAACAAAAUUGAACAAGUCAGAAUUUUGUUCUUUUUUCUUAUUUUGGCUUAGUUACGAUUAAUAGGAGUAGCUUGGGGGCAUUUGUAUUCAGAUGUCAGAGGUGAAAUUCUUAGAUUUUCUGGAGACAAACAACUGCGAAAGCAUUUGCCUAAAAUACUUCCAUUAAUCAAGAACGAAAGUUAAGGGAGUGAAGACGAUCAGAUACCGUCGUAAUCUUAACCAUAAACUAUGCCGACUAGGCUUUGGAUGAAAUAUUUUAAAAUAAGAGUUUUUUCUCU
rnacentral:rRNA from 1 species